AACGCACGAGACCUGCGGACCUGCGGAGGGAUCAUUACAGAGUUGCAAAACUCCCAAACCAUUGUGAACGUUACCUUCUCGUUGCUUCGGCGGGCGGCCCGGGUCCUUCCCGGCGCCCCCCGGCCCCUCGCGGGCGCCCGCCGGAGGUAAACCAAACUCUUGAAUUGUAUGGCCUCUCUGAGUCUUCUGUACUGAAUAAGUCAAAACUUUUAACAAUGGAUCUCUAGAUCGGAAGAGCAC
rnacentral:misc_RNA from 1 species